rnacentral:rRNA from 1 species
CAUGCAAGUCGAACGAUGAUGCCCAGCUUGCUGGGUGGAUUAGUGGCGAACGGGUGAGUAACACGUGAGUAACCUGCCCCUGACUCUGGGAUAAGCGUUGGAAACGACGUCUAAUACUGGAUAUGAUCACUGGCCGCAUGGUCUGGUGGUGGAAAGAUUUUUUGGUUGGGGAUGGACUCGCGGCCUAUCAGCUUGUUGGUGAGGUAAUGGCUCACCAAGGCGACGACGGGUAGCCGGCCUGAGAGGGUGACCGGCCACACUGGGACUGAGACACGGCCCAGACUCCUACGGGAGGCAGCAGUGGGGAAUAUUGCACAAUGGGCGAAAGCCUGAUGCAGCAACGCCGCGUGAGGGAUGACGGCCUUCGGGUUGUAAACCUCUUUUAGUAGGGAAGAAGCGAAAGUGACGGUACCUGCAGAAAAAGCACCGGCUAACUACGUGCCAGCAGCCGCGGUAAUACGUAGGGUGCAAGCGUUGUCCGGAAUUAUUGGGCGUAAAGAGCUCGUAGGCGGUUUGUCGCGUCUGCUGUGAAAUCCCGAGGCUCAACCUCGGGCUUGCAGUGGGUACGGGCAGACUAGAGUGCGGUAGGGGAGAUUGGAAUUCCUGGUGUAGCGGUGGAAUGCGCAGAUAUCAGGAGGAACACCGAUGGCGAAGGCAGAUCUCUGGGCCGUAACUGACGCUGAGGAGCGAAAGCAUGGGGAGCGAACAGGAUUAGAUACCCUGGUAGUCCAUGCCGUAAACGUUGGGCGCUAGAUGUAGGGACCUUUCCACGGUUUCUGUGUCGUAGCUAACGCAUUAAGCGCCCCGCCUGGGGAGUACGGCCGCAAGGCUAAAACUCAAAGGAAUUGACGGGGGCCCGCACAAGCGGCGGAGCAUGCGGAUUAAUUCGAUGCAACGCGAAGAACCUUACCAAGGCUUGACAUACACCGGAAACGGCCAGAGAUGGUCGCCCCCUUGUGGUCGGUGUACAGGUGGUGCAUGGUUGUCGUCAGCUCGUGUCGUGAGAUGUUGGGUUAAGUCCCGCAACGAGCGCAACCCUUCGUUCUAUGUUGCCAGCGGGUUAUGCCGGGGACUCAUAAGGAGACUGCCGGGGUCAACUCCGGAGGAAGGUGGGGGAUGACGUCAAAUCAUCCAUGCCCCUUAUGUCUUGGGCUUCACGCAUG